AGUUACAAAUGCAACAACUGGCUUCGGCCCAUCUAUAUUUUCUGGCAAAUAUAGAUCCAACCUGUUUCUGGGUUGAUAUCCAUAAAUGAUACUACGACGCACCUGACUUGAGAAGAAAUAAUAGUAUGCAACUUGAAGGAAGCCAGGCAUAAGUAAAAUAGCAUAGAAUGCAAGCGCAGCUAGUCUUGUGAUCCACCGGUAGCCUACCCCGAGAUAUCGGAGAAGCGUGAUGGUGAGCCUGGUGAGCAAGUAAGUUUCAGAGGCAGCAUGCCCGAUAUCUUGGCCGAAAGACUGCUGCCUCUGAGGCUUAGCCGGCUUCCCACCGGCGGCGGCUCGGCGGCGUGGUUGGUGUUUAGCAGUACCACGUCCAUUGUUGCUACUCAAAUCCCCAGAAAGCAAGUGAACAUCAGCGAUCUUAUUGUCAGCAUCGAACGAUGAGGACGAUGAUGGUGAUGACGUUGGCGACAAUGGUGAAGGAAAUGAACGGUCGAGAUCUGGUGAUGCAUGAACCGGCGGCAGUGACGAAGUCAUAUUCCGCCGGCGAGAGGAUGCAAAUCUGACUAUACGAGAUUCUUUCCGUCUCGCGUUUAUUUUGCUUUUGAAAUGAUUAACCGUAGAGAGGUAGAGCACUUCUCUUCAGUUUUUAAUGCAGCGGCAACGGUUUGAUACUUUUG
rnacentral:misc_RNA from 1 species